rnacentral:rRNA from 1 species
UGAGGUAGAUAGGAAUGGAGUGUAAGCACAGCAAUGUGUUCAGCGGACAUUUACUAAUCGGUCGAAUGCUUAACCAA